UGAUAUCUCUACUUAGCAUAAUUAACAUAAGUACGAAGCAACUAUACAUGAAGUAAAAGUCUCCAACUAUCAUAAUGUUCACAAUGCGAAAUAGUAAAGUACCGAUGUUUACUAUUCUAGUCAAUGUCCAAGUAAUACUCUAAGUCAUCAUCUGUCCACAUGUCAUAAUAAACACUCAAAGUCAAAUCUGAAGAGACCCACCCGAAGGCUGUCUAUGGCCCUGAGACCCACCCGAAGGCUGUCUGGCCGGUGCCGAGCCUAAUGGCCCCGUGGUAGUCAACAUCCCCACCCUAGGAAUGAGCCUGGCCCACGGCAAUCCACUUCGGCGCCCAAUCCCGCAUGGCGAAUAUGAAUCGCGAUGGCUAUCUCCGGAGUGCCGGCUUAUAGGGAGCGACCCUCACAAGCAUGUGCGAAUGAGCACAAUGGCAAGUAAUCAAACGAUCUGUCGUAAGUACCAAGUCCUCAUGUCUAAUAACAUGGAAUGUGUCAAGUAUAUCAAUGGCCUAUCCCUAUGUCAUCAUGUCUCUAACAUGGAAUAUAGCAGAUGUGGAGUGGCCUAUCAAUAUGUCUCUAUGUUGCAGUUUCAUAGUUUACUAGUCUCAAGUGCCCCUUGAUGACACUCUUGUUCUCUAUGUCAAAGCAUGGCAACUAUGUUCCAAAGUACAUAUUCCAAGUCAUAAUCCUCAUAAGAGAUGUAUUUUCCACUUGCAAAAUAAACAUUUUUCCCAUAUGCAUGCAUUCUACUCAUAUAGCUCUACUAUAUAGUGAAAUUUUCAUGAUACACAAGGCAUGCAUUUUAAGUGCUCCAAAAUUCAUAUAAAUCCCAUUUAGCAUAGAAGUGAAUUUAAAAAUAUUUUACAACAAAUAGAAAGAGCAUAGGGGCCAUUUCGCCCCAUUUCCCCGAAGCCAAACCCACCGAUGACGACGAAACUCCUCGUUCGCUCCAACGAGGGUGUCCUCUAGUCUCCUAGUACCCUAAAGGUGUGAGAACAUGUGUCAUCUAGUCGAAACGAACGACGCUAAGUUCAAUCUUUAAGCUAUUCAAGCAUAGGUGGAGGAAAACUGACCUCUAGUGCAAAAUCUCCUCUAAAGCUCCGAAAGAGAGCUAGAGUCCAUCCAAUCCCACCUAAUGGAAGCCUCUAAACCAAUCAAUCUAGCUUCAAAAGCCCUAGAUUCAAAAUACCCAAAAUAAACCCUAAUAUCACAAUCUCUCCUAUCAAAGUCAUCCUGAUACGAUCGUCAACCAAAGUCAAUUCAUCAGUCCUCAUAUAAGGUUCUAUCCUGAAGGACUCAAUUCCUUGUAACGCGCUCCUGACACGGGAAUUAUCAACUUGGUACCUUCCCUCAUCCAGUUUUCCAUCCAUUCAGUGAGAGUUCCACAACUCAAUCACCUCAAACCUGCCUACGCAGUCCAACCUCGCACAUCCUAUCAAAAUACCCCAAGUCAUCCGCAACGGUUCUACAAAUCCACCCAGAGGCUCGGAUUAUCAUUCCGCGAACCCUUCCACAGGUAGAGUAUUAUAGCUUAGCAGCAUCAUCCUCGUGAUGUCCACACCUAGCAUCACAAACCCAUUUGAGGUACGACCUCAAACUCCAACAUCAACAGCAUUACUCAGAUUACUCACAAUCUUAACAAGUACACCCACAACUCAAGGCCAUCUGACAAGGUCAAUGGGCCUCAGCAACGGUCUAAACCUCCAAUCGUGGUUCAAUUUGAAUCACGAGAGUCGACAUACAGUCGGAACGGCCCAACCGUCCCACAACAGGUGAGAGUGCUCUUCCACGAGGCAAAACACCAUCUAUAAAAUCUCCCUGUCAAUUGAGCUAACGAUUAGUGACUCGAUCGGACAUAACGACCGAUCAAGGACAUUCUUUAUUUCAAGGAUUCUCGAUCACCCAAAGCUAAUGGCCACUCAGGCCCCAACCCUCUCCAACACUUACCCUAUUUUAGGUAAGGGAGACUAUCAACGCAUCUAGCGAAGUAAAUCCUCAAAUCGCACUAUUUCGUGCUCACCGUCCUCAAGGCGAGUCAAGUCAGCUCGCAAUCCAAGGGUACCCAGGUACCCCUAACAACUCCACACAAAGGAAGGCCAAUCUAUUUGUUGCACACAGAAUCAUCUCACGGGUAGGGCGUUCGAAAACGACACACCCGAUCACCGAUCAUCCACACACGCCGAAAAGGUUCACACUACAAAAUCCUCAGGUUGGGUAACUACACACUAAGUGUGUCUCGAUCUCACGAUCCAACACGUGGCUUUCCACGUUCUAGGGUCCACGCUCAGACUACCAUCCUGACCAAAAACUCUGCCCUACCCGCAGGGUACAGGGCGCUGGCACCACAGCCGACGCACCUGCCCAAGGGCCCAGGCUCCAAGUCCCCAAAUGGUCCAAGCACGGGUCUCUCCAAGCACUAUCCGGCAAACAGCCGAGUCCGGGGUACAACUAAUGCAAUCCUCGUGAAAUCUACAAGCAUAGCAAAAUAUGCCACCCGCAACCCGCAAAUCAAUCGCCUGGCUCGAGAGCUACACAAUGUCGCAAACAGCGAAACUAACGAAAUGUAAUGCAACUCGUGAAUACGAUCAUACAGAUGCAAUGCUCCAAUAACCAACAGAUGCACAACUCGAAUGCCACAAACGAAACUGAUACCUGUAGUCACAAACUCGCCGCUGCCGCUACUCUGUCUGGGCCACGUACAGGCGUCUGCUCAGGGCCCGUCGUGACCCUCCGUCUGUCGCUGACGGGUGGCCUUCCGGCCUGACAGUGAGUAAAAGCAUCCCCCGGCUGGGAUCCGGUAAUACUGUACCGAUGCUGAAGAUGGCGCGAUGCUAACCCCUCCGAACAGUCUGCAGGAGUGACCCUCCUGGCCACACGAGUAGCACCUGCCCUGCCAUCUGUGAGCACUGCUGCGGGAAAUGACGGCCACCGCAGAUCACGCAGCUCUGAGUCUGAUGACGCUCGGAUCCUCUAUGCCGUGCUGAUGGCCGUUCUCCGACUGCUGCCUGGCUCCAGUUCUCGGCGGCCUCCCAGAGGUGCGUCUGACUCACCCUCAGUCACGGUCUCAUGCCAUUUCCUUUGUUUGAGCCUUUCCGAGUUUCUGUAGUCUGCCGCGCAGCUUUCCACGAUGGAGCGCGGUUACCACAUUUUGGUAAGUUGAGGAGUGGAGGUUCACAACCGUAAAAUCGACGACCGAAGUCCUCGGCUCGAAGAUGCGAGCUUAUCCUCGUCGUCUCGCACAACAAAGGGCGCAUAGCGUAGAAGCUGAGAGAACUCCUCUCGUACUCGGCCACAGUCCGAUCCUCCUGGCGAUCUCGCGCAAUCCUGCUCCACUUUCUCUUCACCGCGACGAGAGUAUAUGCUCUAAUAAGAGCUCCUUGAAUCUCAAGAAUCGCUGCUAGUCGGUCGGGAUUAUCCUGGAUGCCACACCACCAACUAUAGCCGCCAUCCAAAUGUGAGUGGCGAGCCAAACUCUAUCUCUCUUCUCCACGAAGGUGUCGCGGAAUAACUUCUCAUAAUCAGUCAACCACUUUCAACGAUCAGUGGUCGAUUUUCUCUCCAUCAAAGAUCUGGGAUCGCGCUCCUGAACUCGUCGAGGCAGAUCCAUGAGCGCUGCCGCUCCGCUCUUUCAACCAUCAAGGGAAAAGUCGCCGCUGUCACAGACACCUGAGCGGUGGUGCUGUCAAUGCCUUCUCCCGAAGGGCUACCGUAAGUGUCAUCUGCGAAGUGCGAGUACAGGGAGAUGACCCACGGGCGCAACUAUUUCAACUGCGCGGGUAGUACCGAGACCGAGCCUCCCCGGCAGCUGCCUGUUGUAAAAGAAGGUCCUCCAGGCGCGCAUCGUACUUCCUGUCGGCGUGCGUAUCCACCAGCUGUCGAGCCGCCGCCGCCUGCUGCGUCACCAGAUCAGUGAGGGCCACAAGCUGACUCCUCAAUCACGGACCUCUUUGGAUAGCGGAGGCAGCGGGUAUCUCCGCUUCCUCAAAGUCGCGCAUCGUCCGCUCCAACUACUUAGUGCGUGAAGUAGCAUUGACACUACAACAUCAUAAAAGCGCAAGUUAAUAUAACCCACGCUAUCGCAACCCGCUUCAAUAAUAUAAUCCCAAUAUGCGAAAGUAAAGAGUCCCAACUACUAACUCCGAUGUUACAUGUCGGCGCCAACGUAACGCUCGCGGAAGUUAGAAGUCAAACUACGAUUUAACUCACUUUCUAGAGUUAUCCAAGAUACCCAAUCCAGAUACUUUCGCUUACAAGUCAAAUAGACCUCGUCUCUCCCGAGCCUAUUUCCUAUAGUCCAAUCCGGCCUAAGGUUUGCUAGGUCCCCUAAUACUCAACCCUAGCUCUGAUACCAAAUUAAUCUGUCCAUAUAUCUAUCUGUUUAUUGAACUAACCUGCAGGUUGCCUCUCUUUGACCUAUUGGUCGAGCUUUUCCCUUGGGUGGCCGUACCCACUGGGAACCAUGGAGUUGGUUCUCACCCCACGUUGUUUUGGGGUGUUACAGGUUCGCACGUGAGCGGCGCGGCGGCGCGAGGCAAGGGCGUAGCUUCGUAGAUAGCGCCCUACCCAGAGACCAGAGUUAGCAGUACCCCGUCGACAUAGCUUAGGGGUAUGGGGUGUUAUUAAUGAAAAGAACACAAUGUAUCAACGUGUAAAUAAAUUUGUAAGAACUUAGAUUGCAUUUGGAUGAAAAAGAAUGUAAAAAGAACUGUGAUGUAAAAAGUAUGAAUGUAAAUGUUUGUAAUAAUAUAGGAUGUGUUUAUGUUGUUUGAUACCUUCCAUUAUGCAAUCUUGAUUGAUAUCAGUUCCUGAUUGGAACCUUCGUAUUGUAUGGAUUGCGUUGCCUUGAAUGUACAGGGGAGACUCUGUCCGCAGUACAGGGGAAACCCUGUCCAUUCGGCGAUGUCGGCGGCGCUGCGACCUCGGCCAAAUAGGCGGGUGGUCGCGAGUCGUGACAGGAACACUGUCAACGACCCACCAGAAAGUCUGGAAAAGCUCGACACACAAAUCAAACACUCGAACCUCGCAAUUUGCAAAGGUCCAGUGUGUUACAUUCACCCCUCCUAAAAAGGAGUUUCGUCCGCGAAACUCAAGGCAGAAACACACCUCAAGGCUCCAUCUGAAAAAGAUGAGGAUAGCGCUCCUGCAAAGCGCUCUCUAGUUCCCACGUUGCCUCCCGCUCCCCGUGGUUGCUCCAAAGAACCUUCACAUACGGAAUAUCCCGAUUCCGCAGUUUCUUCAUUUCGCGAGCCAAAAUCUUCACUGGUUGCUCCUCGAAGCUCAAAUCCUCGCGCAGCUCCACUGGUAUAGCUUCCAAGACAUGAGCUGGAUCAAGAAUGCACCUCCGAAGGACCGAUACAUGAAAGACGUUGUGCACGCCAGAUAGGUUCGGUGCUAGAGCAAGUCGAUACGCUACCGGACCCAUACGCUCCAAGAUCUCAUACGGUCCAAUGAAACGGGGGCUCAACUUUCCCCGAAUCCCGAAUCUCUUGAUUCCUCUAGUCGGCGAGACUUUCAAGAAAACAUGGUCUCCCACUUGGAACUCCAAGUCCCGCCGCCGUCGAUCAGCGUAGCUCCUCUGUCUACUCUGCGCCGUCAAAAGUCGCUCCCGAGCAAUUCGAACCUUAUCCUCAGCUUCCUGGAGCACAUCAGGGCCUAAAGCCAAUCUCUCGCCGACUUUACUCCAAUGAAGUGGCAAUCUACACUUCCGUCCAUAGAGUGCUUCAAACGGCGCCAUCUUGAUGCUUGCUUGAUAACUGUUGUUAUAAGCAAACUCCGCCAUAGGUAGAUGCUGCGACCAUCCUCCCUGGAAAUCCAUCACACAUGCCCGGAGCAUAACCUCUAAAGUCUGUAUAGUGCACUCCGACUGUCCAUCACUCUGCGGGUGGAAUGCGGUGGUGAAAUCCAAUCAAGUGCCCAAAACGUCCUGCAGACUCCUCCAAAAGAGAGACACGAACCGAGUGUCUCGAUCUGAUACUAUCGGUGUAGGCACUCCAUGAAGUCGCACAAUCUCGUCGAGGUACACUUGUGCGAGCUUCUCCCCAGUCCAAGUCAUAUGAAUACGUAUGAAGUGCGCCGACUUCGUCAAUCUAUCCGCGAUCACCCAAAUAGCAUCAUGCCCAGCCUGUGAGCGAGGCAAUCCUGUCACAAAGUCCAUGGUGAUCUUCUCCCACUUCCACACAGGGACAGGUAAACUCCGAAGCUUCCCUGCGGGAACUCGGUGCUCCACUUUUACUUGUUGGCAAGUUAGACAACGAGCCACAAACUCACCAACGUCCUUUUUCAUCUCGGGCCACCAAUGAAGCAACUUUAGAUCCUUGUACAUCUUGGUGCCACCCGAAUGUAUAGCAUAGAGCGCCCGGUGCGCUUCUUGAAGAAUAUCUUCUUUAAUCCCCGAAUCCGCGGGUAUACAAAUCCGCCCACGGAAACGUAUCCAUCUCAGAUCAUCCCAAAAGGGAGUCGCUGGUGCAACCAUCAACCAUUUUACCUUGAAUCUUUUGCAAUUCCAAAACGAAAACUUGCUUCUCUUUGAUCCUAUCCAAAAGACUAGGUUGCACUACCAAAUUCAUCAACCUCAAAUUCACCACUCGGGAGUACUCUCAAUCCCACUGCAAAAUAUGGUCGGGGCUAAGCUCAAAAGCUUCAUCAGUCUACUAAGAUCGUCAUCUUAGUGCUAACUCAAGUCCAAGUAAACUCUCACAAGCCUAGGCCAAAAGGCCUAGCUUCGACAGAAGGCUCACAACGCAAUCACUUUGAAAUUUCCGAUCCCAAUGCCUUUCCUAGCAUUGGAUGCUCCAGGUGUCCAUGGUCCCCAACUCAAUUCUCGCGAUAGAGGUGGAUCAAUCCACCGUUCAACGACAGCUCUCUAUCAAAGUCAUCCUGAUGCGAUCGUCAAACCAAAGUCAAUUCCAUCAGUCCUCAUAUAAGGUUCUAUCCUGAAGGACUCAAUUCCUUGUACGCGCUCCUGACACGGGGAAUUAUCAACUUGGUACCUUCCCUCUCACAAGUUUUCCAUCCAUCAGUGAGAGUUCCACAACUCAAUCACCUCAAACCUGCCUACGCAGUCCAACCUCGCACAUCCUAUCAAAAUACCCCAAGUCAUCCGCAACGGUUCUACAAAUCCACCCAGAGGGCUCGGAUUUAUCAUUCCGCGAACCCUUCCACAGGUAGAGUAUUAUAGGCUUAGGCAGCAUCAUCCUCGUGAUGUCCACACCUAGCAUCACAACCCAUUUGAGGUACGACCUCAAACUCCAACAUCAACAGCAUUACUCAGAUUACUCACAAUCUUAACAAGUACACCCACAACUCAAGGCCAUCUGACAAGGUCAAUGGGCCUCAGCAACGGUCUAAACCUCCAAUCGUGGUUCAAUUUGAAUCACGAGAGUCGACAUACAGUCGGAACGGCCCAACCGGUCCCACAACAGGUGAGAGUGCUCCUCCACGAGGCAAAACACCAUCUAUAAAAUCUCCCUGUCAAUUGAGCUAACGAUUAGUGACUCGAUCGGGGACAUAACGACCGAUCAAGGACAUUCUUUAUUUCAAGGAUUCUCGAUCACCCAAAGCUAAUGGCCACUCAGGCCCCAACCCUCUCCAACACUUACCCUAUUUUAGGUAAGGGAGACUAUCAACGCAUCUAGCGGAAGUAAAUCCUCAAAUCGCACUAUUUCGUGCUCACCGUCCUCAAGGCGAGUCAAGUCAGCUCGCAAUCCAAGGGUACCAGGUACCCCUAACAACUCCACACCAAGGAAGGCCAAUCUAUUUGUUGGCACACAGAAUCAUCUCACGGGGUAGGGCGUUCGAAACGACACACCCGAUCAACCGAUCAUCCACACACGCCGAAAGGUUCAACACUAACAAAUCCUCAGGUUGGGUAACUACACACUAAGUGUGUCCUCGAUCUCACGAUCCAACACGUGGCUUUCCACGUUCUAGGGUCCACGCUCAGACUACCAUCCUGACCAAAACUCUGCCCUACCCGCAGGUACAGGGCCGCUGUCACACACAGCCGACUGCACCUGCCCAACGGGCCCAGGCUCCACAGUCCCCAAAUGGUCCAAGCACGGUCGUCUCCAAGCACUAUCCGGCAAACAGCCGAGCCGGGGUACAACUAAUGCAAUCCUCGUGAAAUCUACAAGCAUAGCAAAAUAUGCCACCCGCAACCCGCAAAUCAAUCGCCUGGCUCGAGAGGCUACACAAUGUCGCAAACAGCGAACUAACGAAAUGUAAUGCAACUCGGUGAAUAGCCGAUCAUAGAUGCAAUGCUCCAAUAACCAACAAUGCACAACUCGAAUGCCACAAACGAAACUGAUACCUGUAGUCACAAACUCGGCCGCUGCCGCCUACUCUGUCUGGGCCACGUACAGGCGUCUGCUCAGGGCCCGUCGUGACCCUCCGUCUGUCGCUGGACGGGUGGCCUUCCGGCCUGACAGUGAGUAAAAGGCAUCCCCCGGCUGGGAUCCGGUAAUACUGGUACCGAUGCUGAAGAUGGCGCUGAUGCUAACCCCCUCGAACAGUCUGACAGGAAGUGACCCUCCUGGCCACACGAGUAGCACCUGCCCUGCCUCUGUGAGCACUGCUGCGGGUAAUGACGGCCACCGCAGAUCACGCAGCUCUGAGUCUGAUGACGCUCGGAUCCUCUAUACAGUGCUGAUGAGCCACGUUCUCGCGACUGGCUCCAGUUCCUGGAAUGUCUCGGCGGCCUCCCAGAGUGCGUCUGACUCGCACCCUCAGUCACGGGUCUCAUACCAUUUCCUUUGUUUGAGCCUUUCCGACGCUCCUGUAAGUCUGCCGCGCAGCUUUCCACGAUGAGGGCGCGGUUCACCACGUCUUGGUAAGUCUGAAGGUGGAAGGGUUGCACCAACCGUAAAAUCGAUGACCGAAGUCCUCGCUCGAAGAUGCGAGCCUUAUCCUCGUCGUCUCGCACAACAAAGGGCGCAUAGCGUAGAAGCUGAGAGAACUCCCUCUCGUACUCGGCCACAGUCCGAUCCUCCUAGCGCAUCUCGGGCAGAUCCUGCUCCACUUUCCUCUUCACGCGGACGAGGAAGUAAUGCUCUAAUAAGAGCUCCUUGAAUCUCUUUCAAGAAAUCGCUGCUAGGUCGGUGUCGGGAUUAUCCUGGAUGCCCACCCACCAACUAUAGGCCUCGCCGUCCAAAUGGUGAGUGGCGAGCCAAACUCUAUCUCUCUCCUCCACGAAGGUGUCGCGGAAUAACUUCUCCAUAUGCGUCAACCACUUCUCAACGAUCCAGUGGUCGGUUUUCUCUCCAUCAAAGAUCCUGGGAUCGCGCCUCCGGAACUCGUCGAGGCGAUCCAUGAGCCGCUGCCGCUCCGCUCUUUCAACCAUCAAGGGAAAAGUCGCCGCUGUCACAGACACCUGAGCUGGUGGUGCUGUCAAUGCCUUCUCCCGAAGGGCUACCGUAAGUGUCAUCUGCGAAGUGUCGAGUACAGGGGAUGACCCCCCCGGGCGCAACUAUUUCCACUGGUGCGGGUAGUACCGAGACCUGAGCCUCCCCGGCAGCUGCCUGUUGUAGAAGAAGGUCCUCCAGUCGCUGCAUCCGUACCUCCUGUCGGCGUGCCGUAUCCACCAGCUGUCGAGCCGCCGCCGCCUGCUGCGUCACCAGAUCAGUGAGGGCCACAAGCUGACUCCUCAACUCACGGACCUCUUUGGAUCCGGAGGCAGCGGGUAUCUCCGCUUCCUCAAAAGUCGUCGCAUCGUCCGCUCCAACUAACUUAGAGCGUGAAGUCGGCAUUGACACUUCAACAUCAUAAAAGCGCAAGUUAAUAUAACCCACGCUAUCGCAACCACGCUCAAAUAAUAAUACCCCAAAUCAUGCGAAAGUAAAGAAGUGUCCCAACUACUAACUCCCGAUGUUACGUUGUCGGCGGCCAACGUAACGCUCCGCGAAGUUAGAAGUCAAACACUCCGAUUUAACUCCACUUUCUAGAGUUAUCCAAGAUACCCAAUCCAGAUACUUUCGCUUACAAGUCAAAUAGACCUCGUCUCUCCCGAGCCUAUUUCCUAUAGUCCAAUCCGGCCUAAGGUUUGCUAGGUCCCCUAAGACUCAACCCUAGGCUCUGAUACCAAAUUAAUCUGUCACGCCCCGGGACCCAGCGGAAGCCCGCCCGGCGCGUGCCCAGACCCGCCAUAUGUCUACAACAUAUAAGGCGUCUAAAAACAACAAUAAUAAAAGCACUAAUACAAGACAUCUAGGAGUAUCAGAACAGAAUAAAAGUCUAAAUGCUACAACAAGGGAUAAGGAUAAAGCUGUAAAUCCACUAAAUAAACAUAAAGUGAUACAAGGAAAAUUUCAAAUACAAGUGCUAUAGGUAGAUACAUAGGUGGUCUCUAUACAUGGAUACAAAAACUCUCACUUUCUCAACUACAAAAGAAAGUGUAAACCACCUAGGCAAAGUACCGCUCCUUGCUAGCUAGCUAAGCGAUCCCCGUGCCGCGAUCCCGUGCCUCCGCCGGUGCCGAAGGCUCUGAAAAGGAAACCAUAAAACAGGGGCGUGAGAACUAUAAAAAAAUAGUUCCCAGUGGGCAAUUACUGACUUCAGUGAAUGCACCACAAGGCCCAAAGCUACAAAAGAGGUCAGUGACUAUAAAAGUAGAAAAGCGAAAAGUAAGUAAAAAUGUAACUUACUACAAUAUGAUAUCUCUACUUAGCAUAAUUAGCAUAAGUACGAAGCAACUAUGCAUGAAGUAAAAGUCCCCAACUAUCAUAAUGUUCACAAUGCGAAAUAGUAAAGUGCCGAUGUUUACUAUUCUAAUCAAGGUCCAAGUAAUACACUAAGUCAUCAUCUGUCCACGUGUCAUAAUGAACACUCAAAGUCAAAUCUGAAGAGACCCACCCGAAGGCUGUCUAUGGCCCUGAGACCCACCCGUAGGCUGUCUGGCCGGUGCCGAGCCUAAUGGCCCCGUGGUAGUCAUCAUCCCCACCCUAGGAAUGAGCCUG
rnacentral:lncRNA from 1 species